UACGUAGGGGGCAAGCGUUGUCCGGAAUCAUUGGGCGUAAAGAGCGUGUAGGCGGCCAGGUAGGUCGGUUGUGAAAACUGGAGGCUCAACCUUCAGAGGUCGACCGAAACCAUCUGGCUAGAGUCCGGGAGAGGGGAGUGGAAGUUACCUGGUGGUAGCGGUGAAAUGCGCAGAUAUCAGGAAGAACACCUAUGGCGAAGGCAGCACUCUGGGACGGUACUGACGCUGAGACGCGAAAGCGUGGGGAGCGAACAGG
rnacentral:rRNA from 1 species